AACGCGAAGAACCUUACCUACCCUUGACAUGCCGCUAACGAAGUAGAGAUACAUUAGGUGCCCGUAAGGGAAAGUGGACACAGGUGCUGCAUGGCUGUCGUCAGCUCGUGUCGUGAGAUGUUGGGUUAAGUCCCGCAACGAGCGCAACCCUUGUCUCUAGUUGCUACGCAAGAGCACUCUAGAGAGACUGCCGGUGACAAACCGGAGGAAGGUGGGGAUGACGUCAAGUCCUCAUGGCCCUUAUGGGUAGGGCUUCACACGUCAUACAAUGGUGCAUACAGAGGGUUGCCAACCCGCGAGGGGGAGCUAAUCUCAGAAAAUGCAUCGUAGUCCGGAUCGUAGUCUGCAACUCGACUACGUGAAGCUGGAAUCGCUAGUAAUCGCGGAUCAGAAUGUCGCGGUGAAUACGUUCCCGGGUCUUGUACACACCG
rnacentral:rRNA from 1 species